ACGCUGGCGGCGUGCUUAACACAUGCAAGUCGAACGAGAGCGUAGAGAAAGCUUGCUUUUUCUACAAUCUAGUGGCAAACGGGUGAGUAACGCGUAAACAACCUGCCCUACGGAUGGGGACAACAGCUGGAAACGGCUGCUAAUACCGAAUACGUUCCGAAAGUCGCAUGACUGUCGGAAGAAAGGAUGGCCUCUAUUUAUAAGCUAUCGCCGGAGGAGGGGUUUGCGUCUGAUUAGCUAGUUGGAGGGGUAACGGCCCACCAAGGCGACGAUCAGUAGCCGGUCUGAGAGGAUGAACGGCCACAUUGGAACUGAGACACGGUCCAGACUCCUACGGGAGGCAGCAGUGGGGAAUCUUCCGCAAUGGGCGAAAGCCUGACGGAGCAACGCCGCGUGAGUGAAGACGGCCUUCGGGUUGUAAAGCUCUGUUAUACGGGACGAAUAGUCUUGUGGUUAAUACCCAUGAGAAGUGACGGUACCGUAAGAGAAAGCCACGGCUAACUACGUGCCAGCAGCCGCGGUAAUACGUAGGUGGCAAGCGUUGUCCGGAAUUAUUGGGCGUAAAGGGCGCGCAGGCGGCUUCUUAAGUCUGUCUUAAAAGUGCGGGGCUUAACCCCGUGAUGGGAUGGAAACUGGGAAGCUCAGAGUAUCGGAGAGGAAAGCGGAAUUCCUAGUGUAGCGGUGAAAUGCGUAGAUAUUAGGAGGAACACCAGUGGCGAAAGCGGCUUUCUGGACGAAAACUGACGCUGAGGCGCGAAAGCCAGGGGAGCGAACGGGAUUAGAUACCCCGGUAGUCCUGGCCGUAAACGAUGGGUACUAGGUGUAGGAGGUAUCGACCCCUUCUGUGCCGGAGUUAACGCAAUAAGUACCCCGCCUGGGGAGUACGGCCGCAAGGUUGAAACUCAAAGGGAAUUGACGGGGGCCCGCACAAGCGG
rnacentral:rRNA from 1 species